rnacentral:rRNA from 1 species
UACGUAGGGUCCGAGCGUUGUCCGGAAUUAUUGGGCGUAAAGAGCUCGUAGGCGGUUUGUCGCGUCUGCUGUGAAAACCUAAGGCUCAACCUUGGGCUUGCAGUGGGUACGGGCAGACUAGAGUGUGGUAGAGGUCUCGGGAAUUCCAGGUGUAGCGGUGAAAUGCGUAGAUAUCUGGAGGAACACCGGUGGCGAAAGCGCGAGACUGGGCCAUAACUGACGCUG